CAACUCACUUUGCAUGUUCUUGUGUAUAAGUUGUCAGUUGAGAUAUCAACAAGCGGGAGUGGCCGUUAUUAAAUAUUUCAUAACCACAACGUGUAGCGAACGGAAAUUUGAAAUUUCGUUCAUGUAGCCUCGACAAAGUCACUAAACGCUCUGGCCAAAAUCUGUGCUUAUCUACCGCCACCAAAGGCAAGGCUCUCGUCCUAGUCGAAGCCUUCACAAUGUUCGACGGCAUCGGAGCCACCUAGUCGUUUCAGACAGGCAGUCCUUCCCUCCCGCCAUCAACUCUCUCAAGCGUCUCUCAAAUCAGCUCGCUUCUCUGUCUUUGAUUCCCAAGAAGAUCAGCUCGCUUUUCUCUGCACAUUACUCCCUUCGGUUCCUGCAAUGCUCCUCCGAUUCUAAUUACAGGCUGACCAAGUUGAGUUGGAGUCAUUGGUGGUUGAAUUAGAUGAGGAGAAUGAGCGGCUUUUGAAAGAGAAG